ACCAACUCUAAGACAUUCGCAAUAUUUACUCCGCAGAGAAUCUAUUCAAUAUCAAGUAUCUACCACACCUACACUAUGCUGAAGGUAAUGCUCCUCCUUUCCUGCCUUGUUGCUACUGGUCUCUGCACUCUGUACCAUGGAAAUUCAUUUGGAUCUGGCUUGGGAUCACUAUUUUAUGAUGGAUACGGAAAUGGUUUGGGACUUCUAGGAAACAGUGGAAGGGGGUCCGGAUAUGGAGGCAAUUACUAUGGACGCGAAGGAUACGGAUUGGGAGGCUACGGAAGUGGAAAUGGAAACAAAUGGGGAAGACGAAGUUCAAGAUUUGGUGGAUAUUAGGAAAACUGGCAGCAGAAAAAAACGAGGUUCAUCUGUCGCAGCAUACAUUAUCAUUUUAUUUAUUUACAUUGUGUUGUUUUCACAUAAUAAAUCAUGUUUUUGUAAAACGA
rnacentral:lncRNA from 1 species